UACGGAAGGCAGCAGUGGGGAAUAUUGCACAAUGGGCGCAAGCCUGAUGCAGCCAUGCCGCGUGUAUGAAAAAGGCCUUCGGGUUGUAAAGUACUUUCAGUCGUGAGGAAGGUGUUAAGGUUAAUAACCUUAGCAAUUGACGUUAGCGACAGAAGAAGCACCGGCUAACUCCGUGCCAGCAGCCGCGGUAAUACGGAGGGUGCGAGCGUUAAUCGGAAUUACUGGGCGUAAAGGGCACGCAGGUGGUUAAUUAAGUUGGAUGUGAAAUCCCCGGGCUUAACCUGGGAAUGGCAUUCAAGACUGGUUAGCUAGAGUCUUGUAGAGGGGGUAGAAUUCCAUGUGUAGCGGUGAAAUGCGUAGAGAUGUGGAGGAAUACCGGUGGCGAAGGCGGCCCCUGGACAAAGACUGACGCUCAUGUGCGAAAGCGUGGGGAGCAAACAGGGAUUAGAUACC
rnacentral:rRNA from 1 species